AGCGAACGCUGGCGGCAGGCCUAACACAUGCAAGUCGAACGAUCCUUCGGGAUAGUGGCGGACGGGUGAGUAACACGUGGUAACGUGCCUUUUGGUUCGGAACAACUCAGGGAAACUUGAGCUAAUACCGGAUGUGCCCUUCGGGGGAAAGAUUUAUCGCCAUUUGAGCGGCCCUCGUCUGAUUAGCUAGUUGGUGGGGUAAAGGCCUACCAAGGCGGCGAUCAGUAGCUGGUCUGAGAGGAUGAUCAGCCACAUUGGGACUGAGACACGGCCCAGACUCCUACGGGAGGCAGCAGUGGGGAAUCUUGCGCAAUGGGCGAAAGCCUGACGCAGCCAUGCCGCGUGAAUGAUGAAGGUCUUAGGAUUGUAAAAUUCUUUCACCGGGGACGAUAAUGACGGUACCCGAAGAAGAAGCCCCGGCUAACUUCGUGCCAGCCGCCGCAGUAA
rnacentral:rRNA from 1 species